CGAAAACUAAAACACAGCAAUGGGCUGGACGCAGUGACUCACACCUGUAAUCCCAGCACUUUGGGAGGUCAGGGGUUUGAGACCAGCCUAGCCAACAUGAUGAAACCCUGUCUCUACCAAAACUACAGAAAUUAUCCAGGUGUGGUGGCGAUCACCUGUAGUUCCAGCUACUCAGGAGAAUGAGGCGGGAAAAUCACUUGAACCUGGGAAGUGGAGGCUGUGGUGAGCCAAGAUUGUGCACUCCAGCCUGAAUGACAGAGUGAGACUCUGUCUCAAGACAACAAAAACAAAGAACAAUGGACACCACACAACCCUGCGAUGGACACCACAGGACCGUGCUUGCUUCAUGAUCUGAAGGCUGUCGUGGUCAUGGUCAGUUGCUUCCCCAGGCCCCUCUCAUUCCUCCCCAUGGCCAAGAGCCCAGCCUUCUCCUGGGGCCAUGGGCUUCUGGAGAAGUCUGUCCAGGCACUGAGCCCUGGCUAG
rnacentral:lncRNA from 1 species